CAAUGUUGGAUUUUUCUCCAGAGCUCCAGUUACUGCAGUCCCCAAGGAUGAAAAAGUGGAGUUUUUAUUCAAACUAUAUUGUCUAUAAUUUGUACAUAUCUUUUGUAUAUGACAUAUGAUAUUAAUAUUGGAUUUUUUUUUCUUAUUAUCUUGAAAACUCCUGGACCAAGGACCAACCACAGGCUUGCCGUCUAUAAGUACCAUUUUUCCUUCUCCUGCUCAAAGACAGUUAGUAGGCAGCUAUAUUGAACAUAGACCAGUGGCACUCAAAAACCUGGAUCCACCCCUGCAUUUUGAGUCGUUGCCUAAGAUAUUAUGGAAUUCUGUAAACGAUUGUCAAAAAAGUUAAACAAAGUCAAACGCCGUGAUUUAUACUGAACACUGAAUAAAACUCGAGCGAGCACUCAACCAGUUCAGCCUUUGAUCCCGUAUCGCUAAAGGCUUCUUUUCCUCGGCCUAUCCUGAAGUUCUGUUUAGUUUUUAGACCUUGUAGAGAGCUCACAGGUCAUUCGAGUAUAGAAUCCAGUUAUUUGAAAACUCUCUUCAAAUUUGUGAAAUUAAGUUCUAAAGCACAAGUUAAAUAUUUUAUGCAUAGACAAAAACGGAAAUUAUUUGGCCAUUCGGCAAAUCGCGAUAUUUUUUAAGACACGAAGUAACAUGUUAUAAAACACAAAGUUAAUUAUUUUUUGCAAUAGACAAAACCUGAAAUAAUUUGCGCAUUUGGCAAAUCGCGAGAUUUUUUAAGACACAAAGUCCCAUGUUAUGAAGCACAAAGUCAAAUAUUUUAUGCAAUAGACAAAUAGUGCUAUGUUACAAGCUCAAAUUUGAAUGUCGUGAACGAUAUACUGAAAUGUUUUAAGCAAAGGCAAAAUGAUGAGUUUUUUAAGACACAAAGUGCGAUGUUUUGAGACACAAAGUGCGAUAUGGUGAACUAAACCUGCAAUGUUUUAAGCGAUAAUCAAAUAGUGCUUUGUCGUGACACUCAAAGUGAGUUGUCGUGACGCAAAUAGUUCAAAGUCGUGACCGAAAGGUGAGAUGUUGUUAACGAAAACGUUGAGUGGCCCUCAUGGGCUUCCGUAAUAAACUCCAGCGGAAUACCCGACUGAUAUGAAAAAGAGGCUCCACCGCGACGGAGAGAAUGUUGCCGCAUCUACGCCUGAAAUAUUAUUAUUAAUAUUAAUAUUAAGGUGUUGUCUAAGUUUCGUCAUGAACAGAUUAUCAGUAAAGAUGUUAUAGUUGUGACUACAGUUAACCCAUGCGAACGCUUGGGAUUGUGCAUUACAACCGGGGGUAAGGCGAAAGGCGUGCAUAAUCGCUGCUGUGGGGCAAAGCGCACUGCUCGGUAUGCGCGGCAAGGGAACCUUGACAAUGCGUUCGCGAAAUUGGAUGGUUUUUACUCCAGCGUAUCGUCACAAGCGUACCCCAUGAAUGAAUCGUAAAAUCUUAGCUGCUUGGUGGCUUCGAAUUUAGACACCGCAGUGGGGAGUAGGUGCGGUUUCCGAAACAUACCGAAAAACGCCACAAAACAUAUAGCCCAAGGAGGCAUUGAAACUCUUACGUAAAACCAAAGGACUACCUGAGGGUCAUGAUUGAUGCUAAAGGCUUGAAGGCAUAAGAAUAGGCAAAUGUAGCUGGGAUUUCUUACUUUGAUACAGCAGUAUAAGUGUAAUAGGGUUUUUAGAGCAAGAUACUUUGUGUCAAUGAUGCUGUAAA